AAUAGAUACCCAGGUAGUCCUAGCCGUAAACGAUGAGCACUAGAGUCGGGGAGACCUCCGACAUCUUCUCGAUCGUAGCGAAAGUGCUAAGUGCCCCGCCUGGGGAGUACGGCCGCAAGGCUAAAACUCAAAGGAAUUGACGGGGGCCCGCACAAGCGGCGGAGCAUGCGGAUUAAUUCGAUGCAACGCGAAGAACCUUACCAAGGCUUGACAUAUACGGUCUAUCCCUAGAGAUAGGGAGUGCUUCGGCGCCGUAUACAGGUGGUGCAUGGUUGUCGUCAGCUCGUGUCGUGAGAUGUUGGGUUAAGUCCCGCAACGAGCGCAACCCUCGUCCUAUGUUGCCAGCGGAUAAUGCCGGGGACUCAUGGGAGACUGCCGGGGUCAACUCGGAGGAAGGUGGGGAUGAGGUCAAAUCAUCAUGCCCCUUAUGUCUUGGGCUUCACGCAUGCUACAAUGGCCGGUACAAAGGGCUGCAAUACCGCGAGGUGGAGCGAAUCCCAAAAAGCCGGUCUCAGUUCGGAUUG
rnacentral:rRNA from 1 species